rnacentral:misc_RNA from 1 species
AUAAAAGGAUACCUUCGGGUAUACCCCAUCCGUGUCUACAUACUCUUGUUGCUUUGGCAGGCCGUGGUCUCCCAACUGUGGGCUCUGCCUGCAUGUGCCUGCCAGAGGACCAAACUCUGAAUGUUAGUGAUGUCUGAGUACUAUAUAAUAGUUA